rnacentral:rRNA from 1 species
GGGCCCGCACAAGCGGUGGAGCAUGUGGUUUAAUUCGAUGCAACGCGAAGAACCUUACCAGGGCUUGACAUACUGCGAAUCUCCUUGAAAGGGGAGAGUGCCUUAGGGAAUGCAGAUACAGGUGGUGCAUGGCUGUCGUCAGCUCGUGUCGUGAGAUGUUGGGUUAAGUCCCGCAACGAGCGCAACCCUUGUUUUUAGUUACCAAUUCGUUGGGUUUUCUAGAAAGACUGCCGGUGACAAACCGGAGGAAGGUGAGGAUGACGUCAAGUCAGCAUGCCCCUUAUGUCCUGGGCUACACACGUGCUACAAUGGUUAGGACAAAGAGUCGCAAGUUUGCAAAAACAAGCUAAUCUCGUAAACCUUGCCUAAGUUCAGAUUGUAGGCUGCAACUCGCCUACAUGAAGUUGGAAUCGCUAGUAA